GUGGGGAAUCUUGCGCAAUGGGCGAAAGCCUGACGCAGCGACACCGCGUGGGGGAUGAAGGCCUUUCAGGUCGUAAACCCCUUUCGGCAGGGACGAAGCGAUCUCGUGACGGUACCUGCAGAAGAAGCCUCGGCUAACUACGUGCCAGCAGCCGCGGUAACACGUAGGAGGCGAGCGUUGUCCGGAAUCAUUGGGCGUAAAGAGCGCGCAGGCGGCUUGGCAAGUCGGGUGUGAAAUCCCGGGGCUCAACCCCGUGACUGCAUCCGAUACUGUCAGGCUAGAGGUAGGUAGGGGAGAUCGGAAUUCCUGGUGUAGCGGUGAAAUGCGCAGAUAUCAGGAGGAACACCGGUGGCGAAGGCGGAUCUCUGGGCCUUACCUGACGCUCAGGCGCGAAAGCUAGGGGAGCGAACAGGAUUAGAUACCCUGGUAGUCC
rnacentral:rRNA from 1 species